rnacentral:rRNA from 1 species
CACCAUACCAUGCUUUCCACCAGAGAAUUACGAGCAACAAGCUUAAAACUCAAAGGACUUGACGGUGUCCCACAUCGACCUAGAGGAGCCUGUCCUAUAAUCGAUACCCCCCGUUCCACCCAACCCCUACUAGCAAUAAUCCAGCCUAUAUACCGCCGUCGACAGUCUACCCCAUGAGGGUCCAUUAGUAGAUAUAAUAGUUAACAACUAAUACGUCAGGUCAAGGUGUAGCAAAUGUAGAGGAAGAGAUUGGCUACAUUUUUUGUUUUAAAACACACGGAAUGCACUAUGAAAUACCGCAUAAAGGCGAAUUUAGCAGUAAAAUAAACAAGAGUGUUUAUUUUAACAACGCUCUGGGACGCGU